rnacentral:rRNA from 1 species
ACGACUCUCGACAACGGAUAUCUCAGCUCUCGCAUUGAUGAAGAACGUAGCGAAAUGCGAUACUUGGUGUGAAUUGCAGAAUCCCGUGAACCAUCGAGUCUUUGAACGCAAGUUGCGCUCGAGGCCAUCCGGCUAAGGGCACGCCUACCUGGACGUCACGCUUUCGACGCUUCGUCAUUGCCCCCUCGGGGGGCGGGGGCGAAUUCGGAGGAUGGCCCCCCGUGCCAGAAGGUGCGGUUGGCCGAAGAGCAAGCCGUUGGUUGUUGUCGAAAAUGACACGAGGUGGAUGCCUUAUGCGAGCCGUACGUCGUGCCUUUGGGACCAGGGCGAGGCCUCGAGGACCCAAGUCGUGGUGCGAGUCGAUGCCACGGACCGCGACCCCAGGUCAGGUAGGGCUACCCGUUGAGUUUAAGCAUAUAAAUAAACGGAGGACAAGAAACUUACAAGGAUUCCCUUAGUAACGACGAGCGAACCGGGAUCUGCCCAGCUUGAGAAUCGGGCGACUGCGUCGUCUGAAUUGUAGUAUGGAGAAGCGUCCUCAGCGACGGACCGGGCCCAAGUCCCCUGUGGAAAGGGGCGCCGGGGAGGGUGAGAGCCCCCGUCCGGCUCGGACCCUGUCGCACCUCGAGGCGCUGUCGAUGAGUCGGGUUGUUUGGGAAUGCAGCCCCAAUUGGGCGGUAAAUUCCGUCCAAGGCUAAAUAUGGGCGAGAGACCAAUAGCGAACAAGUACCGUGAGGGAAAGAUGAAAAGGACUUUGAAAAGAGAGUCAAAGAGUGCUUGAAAUUGCCGGGAGGGAAGCGGAUGGGGGUUGGCGAUGCACCUCGGUCGAAUGCAGAACGGCGGUUAGCCAGUUCACCGCUCGGCUCAGGGUGCGGAUCGAUGCGGGCUGCAUCGACGACCGAAGCCCGGACGGAUCGUUCGUUCGAGGGGAUACCGUCGAUGCGGUCGAGGACAUGACAUGCGCCAUCAACGUGCCCCGCGGGGUACACGCGUGACCUAGGCAUCGGCUAGUGGGCUCCCCAUCAGACCCGUCUUGAAACAUGGACCAAGGAGUCUGACAUGCGUAUGAGUCGACGGGUGCGGAAACCUGGAAGGCACAAGGAAGCUAACGGGCGGGAACCCUCUCGAGGGGUUGCACCGUUGGCUGACCCCGAUCUUUUGUGAAGGGUUCGAGUUGGAGCAUGCAUGUCGGGACCCGAAAGAUGGUGAACUAUGCCUGAGCGAGGCGAAGCCAGAGGAAACUCUGGUGGAGGCCCGAAGCGAUAUUGACGUGCAAAUCGUUCGUAUGACUUGGGUAUAGGGGCAAAAGACUAAUCGAACCAUCUAGUAGCUGGUUCCCUCCGAAGUUUCCCUUAGGAUAGCUGGAGCCCACGUGCGAGUUCUAUCGGGUAAAGCCAAUGAUUAGAGGCAUCGGGGGCGCAACGCCCUCGACCUAUUCUCAAACUUUAAAUAGGUAAGACGACGUGGCUGCUUCAUUGAGCCGCAUCGCGGAAUCGAGAGCUCCAAGUGGGCCAUUUUUGGUAAGCAAAACUGGCAAUGCAAGAUGAACCGAAAGCCGAGUUACGGUGCCCAACUGCGCGGAAACCCAGACACCACAAAGGGUGUUGGUCGAUUAAGACAGCAGGACUGUGGUCAUGGAAGUCGAAAUCUGUCACGCCCCUCAAAAAUAUCGAUAAUAUUAAAAAUUUUCAUCACAAAUCCAUCCAGGAUCCAAACACAUAUUUGAGGAUACUGAAAAACAUUCUAUCAAAUUCACAUCUAUAAAACCUGUAUAGUUUAUAAUCAUAUAUCACAUCACUCGAUAAUUUAUAUUUAUAGCAACCCAAGCCAACUUAACAAACAUGAAUAAUAUUUAUAUAUCCACAAGCUAUGUAAUUUAUACAAUCAUAACUCCUACCAUUUACCACAAGUUCAUAUCAACGUAAACUAGACUUAACAUUCCGAAAUUCCAAAUAAGAGAAAUCUUCUAACACUUUUACAAGGUAUAUCUAUUUCGGUUCAUCAACAACAUUUCAUUACAUACAAAAUAUACUUAUACAACAAUAACAUAAUAACAAACAAGACUUGCCCAUAAUUCUGAAUAACACUCUACUGCCUCAGCCCAAUUCAAACAUCUCAAAGAGUGACAAGCUAACCUGAAAGAUUUUAUAUAACAACGGAGUGAGCUAAAAACAGCUCAGCAAGUGACAAAGCAUAUUCAGAACAAAAGGAAUGAUUUCAAACAAGUAAGAUAUCAUAAUGCAAGGCAGAAUAUAAGAAUUUUCAAGAUAUCAUAUCAUUAGAUACAAAAUCAUGUGUCAUGUCAUUCAAAAUCUAUUUGGUUCAUAACAAAUGGAGCAUAGAGUAAUUAGAGCAUAUCAAUAGCGUACGAGAUGUUCCAGAGCAUAUCAAUUGCAUAUGGAACAUUUCGAAGCAUAAAAUAGCAAAUGAAAUAUUUCGGAGCAUAUCAAAGGCGUAUGAAAUGUUUCGAAGCAUAUCAAUGAUAAAUGAAACAUUUCGGAACAUAUCAAUGGCGUAUGGACCAUUUCGGAGCAUUUCAAAAAAUGAAUAUGAAACAGAAGCUCAAACGUCGAAUCAACAUUGCACUCAUUUCAUUCUUAUCCAAAGCAUGUAUAGAAACACAUAACAAAAGCUCUGGAUACCAUAUCAAACAUACAGAAGGUGAAAUGGGAUCAUAAGAUAGUAUGGUACAUCCAUUUCUAAAUGACCACCAAACAUAAGUCUCCCACGUUUGGGAGCUCCUUCCACCCACAUUUGAGUGAAGUCAUAAGGGCCGGUAGAGCAUCACAAGCUCUUUGCAUAACUCCCUUCACUAUUUCUGGUAAAGGUUCACGAUAUCCCACAAACACCAGAGUACAAAAUGAUAGUAUGAACAAUGAAUAACAUAUAUCAGAAGCACACGCGGAACAACAAAACGUACAUGUGCUUUUACGAG